AUUCAUUAUUUCAAUUCACUUUAUUAUAGUCAAAAAUAAACAAAAUACAAAAACAAAUGCAAGGAAGGGAAGUUAACUUCGGGCGGAGGCGAAGUUUGAAUACGCAAGAAAAUGACAAAGUAUUUAUACCAGGUGUAUAAAUAUCCUAGAUCCUAAAAUCCCAGACAACGAGAAAUCUCAAAAAAUUCCGGAAAAAACAAAGAUACCGGAAAUUUCAAAUCCUAAGGAAAAUGGACUAAAAAAGGACUAACAUGUUCAGCCGGAUCAGGGAUUUAGAGAUCAGGGAGAUAGAGUGGCAACGUCCAAACAUAUCGGUUUGAAAAGUGACAGGAGUGGCAGUUCAGCAACAUGGUGGAUCGGGCACGAUCAAGUUAAUGUUAGGAAAGUCUGGAAGGCCUACAUGAAGCUUUUUGCUUUAACCCAUUAAAAAGAAAGGAAAAAGAGUAGGAGAUAAGAGGCUCUAAUGGAGUUUUGUAGGAACACGGUGAUUAACGGAGCCUUAGCGGACGUAUUGAGGUAAGGGAAAGAAAAGCGGAGAGCUUGUCGGAUCGGUGACAAAAAUGAGGUUAGAAGCAACGGUGUAGGCGGAUUCAGCUGCUAAAAGACCUCAUUUAACCUCACUCUUAUCGAGGAUCGCAAUCAACCAUAUUUUUUCUCGGCGGAGUUCAGAACAAGAGAACGCGCAGGUGAGAUAAUUGCGAUUAAUUUUAAAUUCUAUGAUGAGACAGAGAAGAAGAGCAUGAAGAACCCACCCACUAGUGGCCGAGACCUAGACCGACGUUUGUUCCCGAUAGUUACCGAUUAUUCAGUUUAUCGAUUGAUUGAUAAGAAUCGAUAGUUUUCCCAAUAUUUGCUAUCAUAAUUUGACAUUUAGUUUUGACAUGUGUUUGCUUCAUUUUUAAUUAUUUAAUAGUCCUUUUUUAUUAAUGUUUUUAUUAAAUAUUGCUUCUUAUAUUAUAAAAUAUUAUAACGGUUAAUAAAAUUCCAAAUCAGUGAAAA